UACGAGUGCCUCGAGCGUUAUCCGGAAUCAUUGGGCGUAAAGGGUGUGUAGGCGGCGAUGUUAGUCUCGUGUAAAAUCUUUCGGCCCAACCGAGAGCCCGCACGGGAAACGGCAUUGCUUAGAGGACGGUAGAGGUCUCUGGAACUCAUGGUGUAGCGGUGAAAUGCGUUGAUAUCAUGGGGAACACCAAAAGCGAAGGCAAGAGACUGGACCGCUCCUGACGCUGAAACACGAAAGCGUGGGUCGCGAAUGGG
rnacentral:rRNA from 1 species